GUGAGAAACCAAGCUCUGUAAGGAUCUUGGAGAUCCUGGAUUCUAGCUGUAAAGGGCAUCACCUUUCCAAAAGUUCAUCCACAACACUUUUCCCAAAGGGAUUGUCAAUCAAGGAGUGUCAACUAUCCGCAGUCUCUCAACUCAUCUGAGGGUAUUAACAAUGGCUACAGACCAUUUCUAGCCCUCCUUCUGCCCCAGGUUCCUUCCAUCCCCCUGCCCUGAAUACUCCAGCACAGCCAUGACUGAGACCAGGGAAAGCAGUCUCCCUGCAGGUGGAGACCAACGAAACCCAGAACAGGAAGAGGUGAGAGAACAAGGGUGCUACACCCUUCCCUAGCCUCCCCUGCUCUCCUACCAGCAGACAAAAACUUAAAGGAUACAGGAGGAGCUUCAGGAAACUGUGAGCAGUGAACCUCUGAACCACAGAGUAGUGAAGAGGAUGAUAACAAGAACCAACCUUUACUGAGUGCUCCUUCUAGAUGAGACAGCAC